CUAUAUAAACAGAAGAAAAUUGCUUGAAGUUCAUUGUGUCUUAGUAAGUUCAGCUUUGUUUCAGAGUUGCGAAAAAGCAUUUGUAAAAUGAAUUGUAAUUGGAGCAAGAGACUACUUAGUACAGUAGUGAUCUUAAUCAUUUUGGGAAAUUUGACUUUGGCGGCCGGCAAUUAUCGUCGACCAAGCAAGGUUACUACAAAUUGUUGUACAUCUGUUUCCAGAGUCAAGGUUAGCUACAAGAUAACCAGAUUCAGGGAACAAAAUGCUCUUAAACCCUGUGUAAAGGCAGUAAUAUUUUACACUGAUGAGGUUGGCCCAUUCUGCGCAGAUCCAAGAGCCCAUUGGGUGAGAAGCAAAGUGAAUGAGCUCAGGAAAGCAGCUGCACCUACAAAAACCUAGUUACAGGACAAGUCCUGCAUUCCAAAUUCUACAAGUGCUAACGUUCUGACUGGAUUAUCAAAUUUUUUCUUGUUUCUUCUUUUUAAUAAUGUUUUUACGAAGAUGCACCGUUUCUCAGACACCCACAAAAAACCACAAGAACUGAAUAUUACAAGAAUUGAUAAUUGAAGAUGUGAUUUGAAAAUGUUGUUUUGAACAUAGAAUAAUGGCAUAUUCUUGAAGCAAAAAAAAGAAAAAAUAAAUAUGUAAUUUUAAUUGAAGUGGAUUUUGUUCAACAUUGGGGAGGGGGAGAUGUCAAAUGCAAAUGUCAAAUGUUACUAAUGGGAAAUGACUGGGGGAUGUUUCUUAUCUGGUUUAGUUUUGUAAAAGCCUGAGAUCUGUACAACAUUGUAAAUUAAAUAUUUUUAAACAAUAUAAUGUAAUAUAAUAUAUACAUAAAUUAACUACUUUGCUUUUUUACAUUAAAAGGAAACUUUAUUAAUUUACAUUUUCCUACGAUUUAAUUUCUUACCUGUUUAAUGUUAUAUUAUGCGUAUUCUGUAUGAUUAUCUAUUGUUUCUGCUUAGAUCAUUAUGUGCCAUGCUUACUGAAUAUUCCAGCAAAACAUGCUUCUGAAAAUAUAAGUCAAGACUGAUUGUGUGAGAAGUGAGGUGGGGAAGCAUAUUGGUGUAGAAACCCAUAGGUGAAGCACUGUGCACUGAAACCUGUGCAACACUAAUAUCUCUCCCCAGAAUCAGCCUUGAUGAUGAUGAGCAUUUGUUUACAGAAACAGUUAGUAAGCAUGGCAAAUCUCAACAUCUGUGAUACAUUGCACACACAAAUUUGCGCACAUGCACUGUCCUCCGAUUGCUGAAUGCUAUACACAUUCCUGUUGCAAACUUUUCACCCACAAUGGUUAAGAGGUGACAGACUACACUAGCUGAACUAUGUGGACACAUUUAGAAGAAACUAGUUGUAGUUGACUGCAGUUUUGUCAUUACAUUACUCAACAAUUCAAAUCUAAAUUAUUAUUAUAGUUUAUAUCAAGCACCUUGGCACAACAUUAAAAUGUGCUCUCUAUAUGUACAGUGCUGUAUAUUGUUUAUUUGGUUGGAUUCUCUGGUAGUAUUUGUAUUUUUUGCUUUCAGAAGCGGUGAGAUAACGGAAACCUUUUUUUUAUUCUUUUUUAAGAAAGUAGGUUAUGUUGUCUGUGAAAGUCUUGCAAUGGUUGUGGUUUUAGACAGUGUGAACUUUGAAGCAGUUUUACUUGUAUUAUUGUAUAAUUAAAGGCUGAAUUUAAAAAUAUACCUCCCAACACAAACACCAACAUGUUUACUGUCUUGUCUUGAAGAUGUACUGACCAAUAUUGUUUUAAAACAGUUGAAUUUUAAAAUAUGCUGUAUCAGUGCUGGCGCUAGGAUGUACUGGGCCGUGGUGCACCAUAUUCUACUGUUAUUUCAAGAUGACUGUGAACAAGACAAUAAUCAGUCAAGUAACAGUAUUUCCAAACAUCUUAAUACAUCAAUUAUGUAACAAGAUUAAUCAAUGAUUAAUAACUCGAUUUAGUUAAUGUUGAAACAUAAUACUUCAAAUUAGUCACAAAACAUAGUAAUCAUAAGCAUCAAUUGGAUUUUUUAAUUAGUGUUCUAGCAGCAUGGCUGAUAGCAAUUUGGGGAUGCAGACCACUGUAAAUCAAGGCUACGUUUACUGUAUUUUGCCAGUAUUGCAUGUACAGUUAUAAUUGAUCUAUUAGAAUACAGUGAAUUAGCAGUACAGCUAUGGCCAAAAGUUUUGCAUCUCUGUAUAUAAUUAAAUAAUUUUGCUUCAUAGAGUCCAAUGAAGCCUGCUGAAUAAUGUGACGUUAACAUAUUGAAUUACAUAUUGCUUUGUAGUUUUCCAUAUACUUAAUAAAAAAAAUUGACAACAAUGAAAAAAUGUGACAUUUCGAAAUCCAACAUGAAAUACUACUGUACAACUAUUAUGGCUUCUCAUAGACUU